rnacentral:lncRNA from 1 species
GUUAGCAAACCUUCUAGAGGAGGGAGAGGAGGGGGAAGAUGAAGACUCUGAUGCAGAUGAGGAAGUGGAACUGAUCCUGGGGGACAGUAAGUAUAGGACAGAGUUUGGGAUGAGCCUUGGCACCCAGGGCCAGGUCCCUCCUCUUGUACCAACCCAUUCCAGAAGAAUGGGUUUUGCUGACUCUUCACUCUGGUCGCAUGAGGAAAAGCGCUGAGGCACCAGUCACCCCCCUUCUCCUGUCAGACUCCGUAGCCACGCCAGGUGGCUUGUACAAUUUUCUGUCAGAGCAAAGACAAUGCUUUUUUGCUUCCUGUGUCUUGUCCCUAUCACAGCCACUCAGCUGCACUGUAGUAAUGAGAAGGCAGUCACAGGCCAAACAUAAAUUGAUGUUUAUAGUUGUGUUACAAUAAAACUGAUUUACAA